UAGUAGGUAUGGAAAUUCUGCGCCUUGGUCUUUUUGUUCUAGGGAAGAAGGGGGACUCUUUGUUUGUAUAGAUUGUUGGGUUCCAAAUUUCUUUAAGAAAUCAAUUGGUGAUUGUAGAAAGAUUCAGAAGGAUGUGCUUAACAUACAACAUUGUAGUAGUGAUUUUAAAUCAUCUGAAAAAAUUGCAAAACAUGCUAACUUAGAAGGCUUAAGGAAGGAGGUUGUAGUGGGCUUGAAAGCAA
rnacentral:misc_RNA from 1 species